GACGAACGCUGGCGGCGUGCUUAACACAUGCAAGUCGAACGGAAAGGCCCUGCUUUUGUGGGGUGCUCGAGUGGCGAACGGGUGAGUAACACGUGAGUAAACUGCCCUUGUCUUUGGGAUAACUUCAGGAAACUGGGGCUAAUACCGGAUAGGAGCUCCUGCUGCAUGGUGGGGGUUGGAAAGUUUCGGCGGUUGGGGAUGGACUCGCGGCUUAUCAGCUUGUUGGUGGGGUAGUGGCUUACCAAGGCUUUGACGGGUAGCCGGCCUGAGAGGGUGACCGGCCACAUUGGGACUGAGAUACGGCCCAGACUCCAACGGGAGGCAGCAGUGGGGAAUAUUGCACAAUGGGCGGAAGCCUGAUGCAGCAACGCCGCGUGCGGGAUGACGUCCUUCGGGUUGUAAACCGCUUUCGCCUGUGACGAAGCGUGAGUGACGGUAAUGGGUAAAGAAGCACCGGCUAACUACGUG
rnacentral:rRNA from 1 species